AAUGGGCAAGGAUAAGCAAACUCUUGCUCUCACCCUAGCAACCAUCCUCUGAACCACUUUACAACCUCAAUGCAUUGUUCUUCCAACCACUUUGAACAAAUUAGUAAAACCGUAACAACAUCCUGGCGUCAUGGCAAAGAAAAGCACUCAGAUUUUCUUCAAAGAAUGUACUAAUUUUGUUCUUAUUCUUUAUUAUUUAAUAUUGUUUGGCAGGAGAAACUGAGUGUGGAGAGAGAGAGAGAAAAAGAGAGACUCUUUCUCUUCCCGGGUGUGAGAUGCAUGCUGACUACACACUGCAGUAGUGAGGUCAGAUCCUCUUCAUCGUAAUGAGACAUUCUGAGAACAGGAAACUGCAGAGCACAUCCCCACACUUUUACCAGUGUACAGACAACAUUCAUUCCCACAAUGCAUUCUAGGGUAGACUGGAGUUAGUCAUAUGUGGAAGUUGGUUACACAAGAAGGUUGAUCACAGCAGGACUGUAUCUUGGCACCAAACACUCCAAUCAAUGGUAUUGAUCAUCCCUCGGCAGACUCGACCUGUCUGAAGAAUCUAUCUUCAGGUGUCAGCGGAGAAAAAUUUAUGAACUUUAAAUCUACUUCACUGCUCACACACUGAUCAUUUGAGCGCUGCUGGAUUGUACCGCUCUGUCAUGAACUGGAAUAAUAUAUCUUAACUAGAUUCUUAUCUGGAGUAACUGACACAAAAUCACUGCAGACACUGAAUUCUCGACAGAGGACUGUAUCAUACAGAUCUGACACGUGAAAGGAAUGUAUGUUAUUACAGCAUGUUUACGCGUAAUGAUGAAUAAUAUAAAUAGGGAAAUAGGAAGUGCAUGAGAUCCUUUCAGAAAUUCACUUUUAGAAGUAAACUUUGCCGUCACUCUGCUUGCUUGUCUUUAUGGCUUGACACCAUUGUUGUUCUUAUCAAUGGCCUUUCCUCUGGUCUGCAUGCUCUCUAUUGAUCAGACUGACAGAAAAAUGGCUAGUAUCGGGGACUAGAUCUCUUUUAAUUCCGCUGCACCGCUGAGCAUUUGUUUAAACUGACAAAUUGUUUGUGUGUUUAUUUUGUC